UUUUAUAGUAUUUAAUUUAUAUUUUUUUAAUUUAAAUCUUAGCACUCACAACCAACAUAUCCUUACAGUACUGUAAAUACUCCAGAAGAAUUAAAUAGACAUAAAAAUAUGAUACAAAAUGAUAAAACUGAAAUAAAAAACUAGAUCAUGUACAGUAGUCAAACAAAUCAGCCAAAAAAUGAACAGAAACACAUUUUAAAAUAGAUCUAUGCACCUUUCUAUCAAAACAAUUUUAUUGUAAAAAAAAAUGUUAUUUUUUUUUGUACAUUUGUUCUAUUCAUUCAAAUGUGAGAAUGAGAUCUAGAUGUGUAAGAGGCUAACUUUAUCUACUGUACUUAUUAUGCUGCUUCUGACAAAUUCUAUCCUGUCUGCUACUCAAAAACCUUUCUUUAACAAUAUGUGUCUAAUUUUCACAUUUCUUUUCAGUAAUUCUUUAGGUAUUAUUACUUACAAAUACUUCUGAUUUAUAGGUACUCGAUUAAAAAAUAUUUGAAACUUUAUUCUCUUUUUAAAUAGAGAUACUUCAUAGACUUAUAUUGUAAAUGUUCUGAGAUUGACUUAAAACAGGAUGGUUAGGUAAAAAUUUUUAAUGGUAAAACUAUUUAAGUCAAUAAUAAAAAUGUCUACUCAAAAACUGCACCAGUAAAUGAUACACACUAUCUAAUAAUUACAAUCAUUCCCCCCCCCCCCCCCC